rnacentral:rRNA from 1 species
GACGAACGCUGGCGGCGUGCCUAAUACAUGCAAGUCGAGCGGGGAUUAUGCUUGAUCGCUUCGGUGAGACGGCAUAUAUCCUAGCGGCGGACGGGUGAGUAACGCGUGGGUAAUCUACCUCGUAGUUCGGGAUAACAGGCCGAAAGGCUUGCUAAUACCGGAUGAGUUCAUGCUUAUGCAUAUAGGCAUGAAGAAAGGGCUAGCCCGCUAUGAGAUGAGCCCGCGUCCCAUUAGCUUGUUGGUGGGGUAAUGGCCUACCAAGGCAACGAUGGGUAGCCGGCCUGAGAGGGUGUACGGCCACACUGGGACUGAGACACGGCCCAGACUCCUACGGGGGCAGCAGUAGGGAAUUUUCGGCAAUGGGCGAAAGCCUGACCGAGCGACGCCGCGUGAGGGACGAAGGCCUUCGGGUUGUAAACCUCUGUCUGGGGGAUGAGAACGGACGGUACCCCGGAGGAAGCCCCGGCUAACUACGUGCCAGCAGCCGCGGUAAGAGUAGUACA